rnacentral:rRNA from 1 species
AUUGAACGCUGGCGGCAGGCCUAACACAUGCAAGUCGAGCGGAUGAAGGGAGCUUGCUCCUGGAUUCAGCGGCGGACGGGUGAGUAAUGCCUAGGAAUCUGCCUGGUCGUGGGGGAUAACGUCCGGAAACGGGCGCUAAUACCGCAUACGUCCUGAGGGAGAAAGUGGGGGAUCUUCGGACCUCACGCUAUCAGAUGAGCCUAGGUCGGAGUCGCUAGUUGGUGGGGUAAAGGCCUACCAAGGCGACGAUCCGUAACUGGUCUGAGAGGAUGAGCAGUCACACUGGAACUGAGACACGGUCCAGACUCCUACGGGAGGCAGCAGUGGGGAAUAUUGGACAAUGGGCGAAAGCCUGAUCCAGCCAUGCCGCGUGUGUGAAGAAGGUCUUCGGAUUGUAAAGCACUUUAAGUUGGGAGGAAGGGCAGUAAGUUAAUACCUUGCUGUUUUGACGGUACCAACAGAAUAAGCACCGGCUAACUUCGUG